UGGGGAAUCUUAGACAAUGGGGACAACCCUGAUCUAGCCAUGCCGCGUGAGUGAUGAAGGCCUUAGGGUUGUAAAGCUCUUUCAGCUGGGAAGAUAAUGACGGUACCAGCAGAAGAAGCCCCGGCUAACUCCGUGCCAGCAGCCGCGGUAAUACGGAGGGGGCUAGCGUUGUUCGGAAUUACUGGGCGUAAAGCGCACGUAGGCGGACUGGAAAGUCAGAGGUGAAAUCCCAGGGCUCAACCUUGGAACUGCCUUUGAAACUAUCAGUCUGGAGUUCGAGAGAGGUGAGUGGAAUUCCGAGUGUAGAGGUGAAAUUCGUAGAUAUUCGGAGGAACACCAGUGGCGAAGGCGGCUCACUGGCUCGAUACUGACGCUGAGGUGCGAAAGCGUGGGGAGCAAACA
rnacentral:rRNA from 1 species